rnacentral:rRNA from 1 species
UUUCGCAAUGCCCGAAAGGGUGACGAAGCGACGCCGCGUGAGUGAGGAAGGCCUUCGGGUUGUAAAGCUCUGUCAGGAGUUAAGAAAUAUAAGUGUGCUAAUACCACAUUUAUUUGACGAAGGCUCCAAAGGAAGCCACGGCUAACUCUGUGCCAGCAGCCGCGGUAAUACAGAGGUGGCAAGCGUUGUUCGGAAUUAUUGGGCGUAAAGAGCACGUAGGUGGGUUUGUAAGUCAGAUGUGAAAGCCUUCUGUUCAACGGAAGAAUUGCAUCUGAAACUGCGAGUCUUGAGUGUAGGAGGGGAGAAUGGAACUUCUGGUGGAGCGGUGAAAUGCGUAGAUAUCAGAAGGAACGCCGGCGGCGAAAGCGAUUCUCUGGCCUAUUACUGACACACAGUGUGCGAAAGCUAGGGGAGCAAACGGGAUUAGAUACCCCGGUAGUCCUAGCCGUAAACGAUGGGCACUAAGUAGAGGGGUUUUA